UACGGAGGGUGCAAGCGUUUGUCCGGAUUUAUUGGGUUUAAAGGGUGCGUAGGCGGUUCUUUUAAGUCUGGGGUGAAAAGCCCGUUGCUCAACAACGGAACUGCCCUGGAAACUGGCGAACUUGAGUACAGACGAGGGUGGCGGAAUGGAUGGUGUAGCGGUGAAAUGCAUAGAUACCAUCCAGAACCCCGAUUGCGAAGCAGCUGCCUAGACUGAUAACUGACGUGAGGCACGAAAGCGGUGGGGAGCGAAACAGG
rnacentral:rRNA from 1 species